UACGAAGGGGGCUAGCGUUGCUCGGAAUCACUGGGCGUAAAGGGUGCGUAGGCGGGUCUUUAAGUCAGGGGUGAAAUCCUGGAGCUCAACUCCAGAACUGCCUUUGAUACUGAGGAUCUUGAGUUCGGGAGAGGUGAGUGGAACUGCGAGUGUAGAGGUGAAAUUCGUAGAUAUUCGCAAGAACACCAGUGGCGAAGGCG
rnacentral:rRNA from 1 species